GACGAACGCUGGCGGCGUGCUUAACACAUGCAAGUCGAACGGAAAGGCCCUGCUUUUGUGGGGUGCUCGAGUGGCGAACGGGUGAGUAACACGUGAGUAACCUGCCCUUGACUUUGGGAUAACUUCAGGAAACUGGGGCUAAUACCGGAUAGGAGCUCCUGCUGCAUGGUGGGGGUUGGAAAGUUUCGGCGGUUGGGGAUGGACUCGCGGCUUAUCAGCUUGUUGGUGGGGUAGUGGCUUACCAAGGCUUUGACGGGUAGCCGGCCUGAGAGGGUGACCGGCCCACUUUGGCCUGGAAUACCGCCCCGACCCCUUCCGGAGGCAAGCGGGGGGAAUAUUUCACAAUUGGCGGAAGCCUGGUGCAGCCAAGCCCGGUUGCGGGUGGCGGGCUUCCGGUUGGUAACCGCUUUCGCCUGUAACGAAGCGUGAGUGACGGUAAUGGGUAAAGAAGCACCGGCUAACUACGUG
rnacentral:rRNA from 1 species